GUAGUAGCAAAUACUCAAGUGAGACCUGAGGACUGAAGUGAGAAGGGUUCCAUGUGAACAGCAGUUGAACAUGGGUCAGUCGGUCCUAAGGGAAAGGAGAAGUUCUUUCCGAAGCGGGAGCACUUUUUUGCAGUGGAGAGAGCCCCGCAGUGACCGAAAGGGAAUCGGGUUAAUAAUCCCGAACCCGGACACGGAGAUUGGUCCUUCGGGGCCCAGUGCGGUAACGCAAACCAGCUCGGAGACGCCGAUGCGAGCCCCGGGAAGAGUUUUCUUUUCUCUGUAAGGAGAUCGAGUCCCUGGAAUGGGUUCGCCCCGAGAUAGGGAUGGUGGCUCCGUAGAGCAGUGCGGUUCUUGCGCUGUCCGGUGCGCUCGCGUCGGCCCUUGAAAAUCCGAGUGAGGGAGUGUGAUUUUCGUGCCGGACCGUACCCACAUCCGCAGCAGGUCUCCAAGGUGAACAGCCUCUAGUCGAUGGACCAAUGUAGGUAAGGGAAGUCGGCAAAACGGAUCCGUAACCUUGGGAUAAGGAUUGGCUCUGAGGACUGAGCCGGUCGGGCUGGGGACCUGAAGCAGGAACGGCACUGCACCGGGACUGGGCGGGGCUCGCCGUUCACGCGGCGCGGCCAAGCCCGGACCAGCGUCGGGACCUUCCUGUGGAAAGCCUCAGCUGCGCGGCGUCUGAGGGCUUCGUGCCCAAAGUGCUAUGCUUCGGCCGGCAAAAAACAGUCAACUCAGAACUGGCACGGACCGGGGGAAUCCGACUGUCUAAUUAAAACAAAGCAUUGCGAUGGCCGCUGGUCGGUGUUGACGCAAUGUGGGUAUCGGUGCGAGGUAACUGUGCGAGGUAACGGUGCGAGAGAUUCAUCAAAGCGCUUUUGGUGUGAACCGCGCGGUGUCACUAUCGUCUGUAGAGGACUUAGGUACCUGUCGUGGUGUCUUCAUUAGUAGAGGAAAGACCACACUGCGAUCUAUCGACGGCCUUGCCAUUGACCGGGGGGUUUGGCUACUAUGGAUAUCCUCCCUUCCCCCCUCUCUUGGACCCCCGUCCUAUUAACAUCUCUGG
rnacentral:ncRNA from 1 species